CUCAAACUGGUUCGUCAAAGUUUCGACCAUCUUCAUACCCAAAAUCAUGUUGUUGGAGUGAUUUGAAAAGUGGGAUCCAAUCAAAAGAUGAGUUGCAAUCCACAUUCCGUGGACUACACACACCUCACUAUCUUUUCCCAAAGCAACCAAUUAACACGUUUACGCGAACUGCAUUGCUACGAAAAUUAUUUGCGCGCAAUCAAUUCCUUUUUGGGAUUUCUCUCAGUUUCAAGAACUUCAUCAUGCUGUGUUUCUCAAAUUCUCACCACUCAGUAGACUAGCGUGCUCAGCCUUUUUUCCCCUACAAUUGGGGCUGCUCCUAGGUCUUGAUUAUGAUUAAUUUAAGGACAGCGAUCUGCAUAUAUGAGGCCUUGUUAUUGGAGGAUAGGCGGAUAUCAUAUUUUGCUUACAAGAGCUUCCAUGCUCGACCUCCAUUCAUGUUGAACUUCUU